GAAAGCGAUGCCAACUUAAAUCUUUGCUUUGUUGGUCUGGCAUAAUUAAAUGUGCCAUAGUACAGGUUUUACUUCCCCAUGUCAAUCGAGAGCAAGUGAAAACAGGAGAAGGGGUGACCUUGCGCUUCCACUCAUUGGUUUGUUUUGUAAAAAGUCAGUUGAGAAGCAAUGCUGUUUCACUUCCCUGAGAGAAUUGCCUUGUUUGUGAAAUACUACAGAAAAACCUGUAUUUUCUCCAGAAAAUGAAAGGUCUUGGCCUGAGUAAAUCAAGGCAGAAAACUCACCCCCGUGAAAGCCGCAGCUCUGAGAGUGUGUGGGCAGGGGCUUCAACAGAAUACCUGUGGCUGCACUUACAAAAGGCAGCCAGAAGGACCCGUCCAUUCUGGAAAGUACCUUUAGUCUGAAAGGCAUUUAUUGCAGAAAAAAUAUGAGGCUUGCUGGUAGUAUUCCCAGGUGACAAAUGUGCACCCAACACCCUACAGAAAAGAAGAACCAUAAAAUAAUUAAUUAUUCCAUUGUAACUCCUGCCUGGAAAACAUCUGGAUGCUUGGAUGUUUUCACACCACUCUGACACGUGGAUGGAAGGUUAGAAGACAACAAAGGAAUGGGCUGGGAAGGACUCCAAAAGCAGAAUCAGAGAUUAUAUCAUUCCUUGGAAAUGGAGAAAAGGAUCAAAAAAGCUGAAUAAAAGGGGCAAACAUGGAGGAACAGAGUUUGGAGCAAUACCCUGACUUACAUUCAGUACUGUUAAUGGCUCCAGCAUCUUGAAACAAACCAAUUUUGGAUUUUCAGGCCGCUGUCCAAGAUGAUGUGAACUCCAGGCUAUUGACUUUCCUCUACCUUCAAUGGAAAUUGUCAUGGAGAAUUAAGUUUUUGACAAAUCUACAGCCUAUGUGCAGGGCUUCUUCCUGGGUGUAACAAUAAGGAGUUUGGAAACUGUCUCUAGUUUUGGCCUGGAGUCACACUGCAGCUUGAGACCCUGUCAUUUCCACCAAGCUUGAAAAUAUACAUCUUAAUAAACUGCAAUACUUCUUAAACCUUGUCAUCUCAAUACUGUCUUAACACAUCUGAUCUGAGGUGUAGACCAUUCAAAAGGCAAAGUGAGCAGUCUAUUCUCACUCCUGGAUUCUUCAUUAAAAUAUUAUAUUCCCAGCAUUUCUGUGUCAAAAGG
rnacentral:lncRNA from 1 species